CAAACUCCUUACGUUUUUUCUCCUCGUCUGUAAAACUUCAAGCACGAACUGUAUAAGUUGUACCGGCUAGUAACAAAAUCUCUCCACAAAUCUCGAAAUAUUAAUGGCUAAUUCAAUGAAUAAUUGGUUGGGAUUCUCUCUUUCACCUCAAGAUCAUUUCCCUUCUCAGGAUCACUCACAAAACUCAGUUUUCAACUCAGAUGAAAUCUCAGUUACUCAAGUUUCAUCAAGUGGAUGUUUUGAUCUUUCUUCUGACUCAACUAUUCCUUCUCUCAACCUUCCAGCCCCUUUCGCCAUUUUAGAAGAUUUCCAAAGGAACAAUAAUUCACAAGGUCAGUCUUUCGAUCGUAUAUACUACAGGUUCUUGAGUAUACAUCUGUCUUUUGUCCGUAAUAGAAACUCUAAUUUAGCGUAACUCUAAGUCUGAGCUGAGAUUUUUUCGACCUUUUUUGUUUCACUUUAUUUGCAGAUUGGAAUAUGAAGGAUGUUGGGUUAAACUCAUUGUCAUGCAGCAGUCAAAACCUGGAAAAUCAAGAAAGGCCAAAACUGGAAAAUUUUCUCGGGGUUUCUGGGCACACUUUUAAUGUUCAAGAACGCAAGAAAAGCAUUUCUACUGAUACUUACAUAUACCAAGAAUCUGCUGAGGCCACCUCUCAAACAUCAAGCAACAAUAAUACUAUUGGCCUCUCCAUGAUCAAGAACUGGCUGAGAAAUAACCCAGCACCGCCACAACCGGCUGAGAACAAAAGUGGUGACAAGGCGGUGCUACCACCUCCACCGAGGACUAGUAGUGUACAGACUUUGUCACUUUCAAUGAGAACUGGCUCACAGUCAAGCUCCCAUUUGCCAGUUACUACUGUAAACGGUGAGAGUUCUACAUUUGAUAACAAUGAACAGCAGCUUAAAAAUGCUCUUGAUAGCCAAACGGGUGCAAUAGAGGCUGUACCGAGGAAAUCGAUAGAUACAUUUGGACAAAGGACAUCUAUCUACCGUGGUGUAACGAGGUUUUAUUUUUUUUACCUAAAUGCAAAUAUUUAUAUUUUCUAUAUAGACAACUCCGAGGGUCAAAUCUUAUAAAAUGAAUUCUAUUUUGUCGUUCGACCCCUCUCAAAGGGAGAGUGGUUGAAGAAAUAUGCAACAGACUUCAAUUUUUUUUUUUUCUUUUUUGAAUCCAGAAGUUUUUCAUAAGGGUUUC
rnacentral:lncRNA from 1 species